rnacentral:rRNA from 1 species
UACGUAGGGGGCAAGCGUUGUCCGGAAUGACUGGGCGUAAAGGGUGCGUAGGCGGCCGUUUAAGUCCUGUGUGAAAGGUCCCGGCUUAACCGGGGAGCGGCAUGGGAAACUGGACGGCUUGAGUGCCGGAGAGGGUGGCGGAAUUCCCGGUGUAGCGGUGAAAUGCGUAGAGAUCGGGAGGAACACCAGUGGCGAAGGCGGCCACCUGGACGGUAACUGACGCUGAGGCACGACAGCUGGGGGAGCAAACGGG